rnacentral:rRNA from 1 species
CCUACGGGAGGCAGCAGUGGGGAAUAUUGCACAAUGGGCGAAAGCCUGGUGCAGCGACGCCGCGUGAGGGAUGACGGCCUUCGGGUUGUAAACCUCUUUCAGCAGGGAAGAAGCGAAAGUGACGGUACCUGCAGAAGAAGCGCCGGCUAACUACGUGCCAGCAGCCGCGGUAAUACGUAGGGCGCAAGCGUUGUCCGGAAUUAUUGGGCGUAAAGAGCUCGUAGGCGGCUUGUCACGUCGGGUGUGAAAGCCCGGGGCUUAACCCCGGGUCUGCAUUCGAUACGGGCUAGCUAGAGUGUGGUAGGGGAGAUCGGAAUUCCUGGUGUAGCGGUGAAAUGCGCAGAUAUCAGGAGGAACACCGGUGGCGAAGGCGGAUCUCUGGGCCAUUACUGACGCUGAGGAGCGAAAGCGUGGGGAGCGAACAGGAUUAGAUACCCUGGUAGUCCACGCCGUAAACGGUGGGAACUAGGUGUUGGCGACAUUCCACGUCGUCGGUGCCGCAGCCAACGCAUAAGUUCCCGCCUGGGGAGUACGGCCGCAAGGCUAAAACUCAAAUGAAUUGACGGCUGAGACGNGCGAGACGACGACGAGGAGAGG